CAGCAAUGGAUCUUAGUGGCGAACGGGUGAGUAACGCGUAGGCAAUCUGCCUUCUAGAUGGGGACAACAUCCCGAAAGGGGUGCUAAUACCGAAUGUUGUACCGUUUCCGCAUGGAGAUGAUACUAAAGGUGGCCUCUGAAUAUGCUACCGCUAGAAGAUGAGCCUGCGUCUGAUUAGCUAGUUGGAGGGGUAACGGCCCACCAAGGCUUCGAUCAGUAGCCGGUCUGAGAGGAUGAACGGCCACACUGGGACUGAGACACGGCCCAGACUCCUACGGGAGGCAGCAGUGGGGAAUCUUCCGCAAUGGACGAAAGUCUGACGGAGCAACGCCGCGUGAGUGAAGAAGGUUUUCGGAUCGUAAAGCUCUUUCGUUAGGGACGAACGUGCUCUUUGUGAAUAAUGAGGAGUAAUGACGGUACCUAAAUAAGAAGCCACGGCUAACUACGUGCCAGCAGCCGCGGUAAUACGUAGGUGGCAAGCGUUGUCCGGAAUUAUUGGG
rnacentral:rRNA from 1 species